UGUGUCAACGGUACCGGAACGAAGUGAGGAUAAGGAGUUGACAUAUUCAGCGCU
rnacentral:sRNA from 10 species